GACGAACGCUGGCGGCGUGCUUAACACAUGCAAGUCGAACGGAAAGGCCCUGCUUUUGUGGGGUGCUCGAGUGGCGAACGGGUGAGUAACACGUGAGUAACCUGCCCUUGACUUUGGGAUAACUUCAGGAAACUGGGGCUAAUACCGGAUAGGAGCUCCUGCUGCAUGGUGGGGGUUGGAAAGUUUCGGCGGUUGGGGAUGGACUCGCGGCUUAUCAGCUUGUUGGUGGGGUAGUGGCUUACCAAGGCUUUGACGGGUAGCCGGCCUGGGAGGGUGACCGGCCACAUUGGGACUGAGAGACGGCCCAGACUGCUACGGGAGGCAGCAGUGGGGAAUAUUGCACAAUGGGCGGAAGCCUGAUGCAGCAACGCCGCGUGCGGGAUGACGGCCUUCGGGUUGUAAACCGCUUUCGCCUGUGACGAAGCGUGAGUGACGGUAAUGGGUAAAGAAGCACCGGCUAACUACGUG
rnacentral:rRNA from 1 species